GACGAACGCUGGCGGCGUGCCUAAUACAUGCAAGUAGGACGCAGUUGCGAACGGGGGAGUAACGCGUAGGUAACUACCUAUUAGAGGGGGAUAACUAUUGGAAACGAUAGCUAAUACCGCAUACUAGUAGAUGGACCUGCGUUGUAUUAGCUAGUAGGUAAGGUAAUGGCCUACCUAGGCAACGAUACAUAGCCGACCUGAGAGGGUGAUCGGUCACACUGGGCCUGAGACGCUGGCCAGAAUCCUACGGGAGGCAGCAGUAGGGACGCUUCGGCAAUGGGCGGAACCCUGACCGAGCAACGCGGCGUGAGUGAAGAAGGUUUUCGGAUCGUACAGCUCUGUUGUUAAGGAAGCGGUACUUAACCAGAAAGGGACGGCUAACUACGUGCCAGCAGCCGGGGUAAUAC
rnacentral:rRNA from 1 species